UGUCUGGAGGAAUUUUUAUUUGUCAGCUGAUUGCUGAAUGCACCUUGCAAUUGAAUGAAGGAAAGGGAAACAAUCAGCUGGCAUUACUCAUUAUUCAUUUUAUAGGUACUUGAAUGAAGAAAAGAAGGAGGAGGAAAAGAAUAUUUAAGACCGCUAAUCAUUUAACGCCCCAAAUUGCAGUCACGCCCACACACACACACACACACACCUAGAGAAAAAGAGUCACACACACACACACUCAAAUAUAACGUCAAAAUUAUAACAGAACAUGCCGCUAGAAUCCUAUUAAGGACUAAUUGUUGGCGACUUCUGUGCCUCUGCCUCUGUGUGGCGCAACUAGUAGACCAGUAGCAGCAGCGGCGGCAAGCAGCAGAUGAGAGAGCAAGAGCCUUGCCUUAAAAGCAUGGGGCAAUAAUCGAUUACAAAAAAAAAAAAAAAAAAAACCGAACAACUAACACACAUCUGUGCCGCAGGGAAGGAGCAUUGAGAAGAGGAAGAUGUUUGGUUCAUUCAUGAUGGCGUUGCCAGAUGGUCAAGAGCAGCAAUCUUGUAACUUUUGAAUCUUUUCUAUGUCCAGCGAAUUAAUUAAAACAUAAACUGUUUAAUCAAUA